UACGUAGGGUGCAAGCGUUAAUCGGAAUUACUGGGCGUAAAGCGUGCGCAGGUGGUUGUGUAAGCUUGAUGUGAAAUCCCCGGGCUCAACCUGGGAAUGGCAUUGAGGACUGCACGGCUAGAGUGUGGCAGAGGGGGGUGGAAUUCCGCGUGUAGCAGUGAAAUGCGUAGAGAUGCGGAGGAACACCGAUGGCGAAGGCAGCCCCCUGGGCUAACACUGACACUCAUGCACGAAAGCGUGGGGAGCAAACAGG
rnacentral:rRNA from 1 species